rnacentral:piRNA from 1 species
AGACAAGGACCAAGGAUGGUGAUUCCUUCCU